rnacentral:misc_RNA from 1 species
GAAAUGCGAUAAGUAAUGUGAAUUGCAGAAUUCAGUGAAUCAUCGAAUCUUUGAACGCACCUUGCGCUCCUUGGUAUUCCUUGGAGCAUGCCUGUUUGAGUAUCAUGAAAUCUUCAAAGUAAAUCUUUUGUUAACUCAAUUGGUUUCUACUUUGGUAUUGGAGGUCUUUGCAGCUUCACACCUGCUCCUCUUUGUUCAUUAGCUGGAUCUCAGUGUAUGCUUGGUUCCACUCGGCGUGAUAAGUUAUCUAUCGCUGAGGACACUGUAAAAGGUGGCCAAGGUAAAUGCAGAUGAACCGCUUCUAAUAGUCCAUUGACUUGGACAAUACUUUUAUGAUCUGAUCUCUAAUCAGGUAGGACUACCCGCUGAACUUAAGC